rnacentral:lncRNA from 1 species
AAGGGAAUCAUAUAGAUAAGUAUCACAUUGGAUAGUAGACAUGAAACAAACUAUCGCUUAAACAAUGUGAUUAAGAGUAUUGUAUUAGAGAAGGACCGUAUUGCAUUGUAGUUGUAACUGGAUAGGUUCUCCAACCACUUCUACUUAGCUUGGGUAACCAUGACAUACUGCUAGGUGUCACUCAUGGUUUGUGGAAGCCCUAAUGAUUAGCAAACACUAAUCAUUAAGGGAGAAUUGAAAUGUGGUUUCAAUUCACAAUCGAUCGCUAAGAGUAACAAUCGCCCACUACCUCGCUAAUUGGAACCUAAUGGAUCGUACACUGAGUAAGGAUGUAUGUGAAGAAAUUAAAUGAAAUGGAUAAGCAAUUAAAUGGUUUAAUUGAAGAAUGGUCAAGGUUAAUUAAUUAGUUAAUUAAUUAUACGAAAUGUUCGUAUUGGGCUUAUAUGUUGGUUUUGGGUUUCGGGGCCCAAAAGCGUUUUGGUCCACAAGGCCUAUUAUGUUUAAGUUGUAUGACAACUAAAACAAAAUGGGCAAAUAGCCCAAUAACAUUAACAUGGCCGGCCAUUAGGGUGGAUGAUGUAAACUUGGAUUAAUUACAAGUUUGCCACUCACUUGUAAUGACGUAUAAAAGCAACUUUAUAGCUUUAUUUUCAUUUAAGGGUUUUCUUUAAGGCAAAGAGGUGAAACAUUUUCUCUCUUUCUCUCUACAAAGAGGCCGGCCACUUAGGGAGAUUAAUCUAGCAAUCUCUUCUUCCCUAAGUCAUCCAUUUCAUCUUCACACUUAACCCUUGGUGUGGAGACUUAGAGACACCAAACUUUUGGUGUUUUGGAGAUCCUUUCCUUACAUCCACAAAGUCCAAAGGAGCACAAAAGGAGAAGGAAAUCACAAGCAAUAUCCAAGGAGCUAGGAGGUGACUUGAAGGCCCUCCACUUGGGUGAAUCCCUUGUGUAAACAAGGAUGAGCAUCAAGGGUAAAGAAACUCUAAAUCUUUAAUUCUCUUUAAUGUUGUUAAAGAGUCUUUUGGUUCACCAUAUACUAGGCUUUGAAAGUCAUGGGUUUUAUGAAUUGUUUUUGAAUGCAUGCCUGCUUUAAAGUGUUAAUAGUAUGCAUAUGUAUUCAAAUGUUCUUACUUGUUCUUAACUAGGACAAAAUUUUUCCUUCAAGUGGUAUCAGAGCCUAGGCCUAGUUUAUGGUGAAUCCUUUUGGGUUUUGUGAUUUUCAUGAUUUGUGAUUUAAAUGUUGUAAAUGUUACAAGCUUUGUUCUUGCUUUGAAUAUAAAUUUUGCUAGAAAAUUUAGCAUCUCAAAUGUUGUAGAUGUAUUUCAUUUAAGCAUGAAUAUUGGAACUAAAAUUUGGUGCCAUGAAUUUUGGGAAAUUCGGCGAAAUCCUUAGGGUGAUUUUUUGGGUUCAUGUUUGUCUUGUUAAAAUGGUUUUAAGGUGACUUUUGGAACCCCUAAGUACCCUAGGAUAUUAGCCCUCUUUUGAGUGGUGAAAAAUUGAGUUUUGGUGAGUGAAAACAUGAAGGAAUUAUUUUGAGAAACAUGUUCUUUUGAGCAACAUCAUAUAGCAUGCAAUUAACAAUUAAAGGCGGAAUCAUGCUUACAUGCACUCAAAAACAAAACAUUUACCCAUGAAAUUCAAAACCUAGUAGAUUGGUGAACCAAUAAUCAACUCAAAACAUAAGUGAGU